rnacentral:rRNA from 1 species
UGGGGAAUCUUGGACAAUGGGGGCAACCCUGAUCCGGCGAUGCCGCGUGGGUGAAGAAGGCCUUCGGGUUGUAAAGCCCUUUAGGUUGGGACGAAGUGUUGGUGAGGAAAUGCGCCAAUGUUGACGGUACCAACAGAAUAAGCACCGGCAAACUCUGUGCCAGCAGCCGCGGUAAUACAGAGGGUGCGAGCGUUAAUCGGAAUUACUGGGCGUAAAGGGCGCGUAGGCGGUAAGGUAAGUGUGAUGUGAAAGCCCCGGGCUUAACCUGGGAAGGGCAUCGCAGACUAUCUAACUGGAGUAUAUGAGAGGGUGGUGGAAUUUCCGGUGUAGCGGUGAAAUGCGUAGAGAUCGGAAGGAACGUCAAUGGCGAAGGCAGCCACCUGGCAUAAUACUGACGCUGAGGCGCGAAAGCGUGGGUAGCGAACAGG